rnacentral:rRNA from 1 species
UACGUAGGGUGCAAGCGUUUGUCCGGAAUUAUUGGGCGUAAAGAGCUUGUAGGCGGUUUGUCGCGUCUGCUGUGAAAUUUCGGGGCUCAACCCCGAACUUGCAGUGGGUACGGGCAGACUAGAGUGUGGUAGGGGAGACUGGAAUUCCUGGUGUAGCGGUGAAAUGACGCAGAGUAUCAGGAGGAACACCGAUGGCGAAGGCAGGUCUCCUG